GGGGUUUUGCCUGGUGAAAAACGAAAACGUGUUUCGCCCCUACAAGUGAUUUUAUGGAGCGAUCCCUGAUUAUGGUGUGCAAGCUCACCUUUCUCCUAGGGGAACUGAAGUGAGAAGCCUAAAGUAAUUACCUAUCGCGGCCCCCUGUCAAAUGACGGGCGGAAACCAUAUCUUUUUAGCUAGGCAGGGCCCUU
rnacentral:sRNA from 1 species